rnacentral:lncRNA from 1 species
GCCAUCAACUGACUGAGACCUUGGGCUAAAUAAUCAAUUGUGCUGAUAUUACAUCUCCUUAUGGAAUGUUCCUAAAUAUGCCAGGUAGACACCAGCCCAAGUACCCUCCUCCAGAAGUCUGUAAGUAGUGACUACCUUGUCACUACUUUAGGCCCAUUCCACAAAGCCCAUCUCUGGUUUGAGAAACUCAUUUUGAUCUGUAUCUACACCACCCAAAGUUAGGCCUCCUAUAGUGUCCAAAACAUUCCUUUCAGCCUUUUUAUUUCUUACUGUACUGUCUCUUACUGUACUGUCUAUCUGCAGUAAUUCAGGACCCAUAAAAUUUAGAUAACUACAUGUUUUUGCUCUUAGAAUUGUCACUCAGCAUAAUGAGCAUUUAACAUACAAAGGCAAUGUACUGUUUUGUGUUGAUCUAUGUAAAAGAAUACAAUUUUUUACAUAAUUAGUGAAAUUUUAUUUUUUAUUAGGAAACACUAAAUAGUGUAAUAUUUCUUUUGCUUUUUAAAAAAUUCCUGGUAGCAAAUCAAGAUAAAUAAUUGCUUCAUUUUCUUGAGCAAUACUGAAGCAGGAUGAAGUAAGAGGAAUACAUUCAUUUAAACAUGCUUUGCUUUAUAAAUUUUGUCUCUUUUUUGGUCUUUUUUUCUUAUAUUCAAGUUACAAAUGUACAAGUGUCCUUACUAAGAGUGCUCCUUUUGUAUUUUACAUAUACACAGUAUGAUAAUACAUUGGAACACUAGGAAAGUUUUUAAAUAACAGUUCUAAUUUAUCAGAAAAUUGUGUUUUGGGAUUGAGUUCUUUGUCUCAGCCCAGAAUCCCAGGUCCUGGGCCUGGUUUUCUAAUGCUGUUAUCUCAUUUCGAUAUUUUACUUUGGACUCUGGAAUCUCCUACUUAAUAUAUGACCAUGACUUUGAAAGGCAAAAGAGGAAUCAACAAUAAAUAAAACAAACUUAAUCUUCAUCUUUAAAAAAAAGAAAAAAAGAAACCAAAAUGAGAAUCAACACUUUAUAGGCUCACUGGGUUUUGUUUUCUUUUCUGUUAAUUUAAACUCAGUUAUUUUUAAUGGUUAAUACAUACAUGGUGCAAAAUUUAAAAAGCGCAAAUAGGUAUCUAGUGGAAAACCUAAGCCUCCCUCUCUCCUCCGGCACCCAUUACCUCUCCCUGGAGGCAACUGUUUUGAUCCAUUUCUUAAACACACUGCCAGAGAUACUCUAGGCAUGUAAAGCACAAACAUACAUAUAAAAUCUGCGGGCUUUAAAAAAUAUAAGUAGGAUGUCAUAUAUACUGUCAUACACAUUGUUUUUUAUCACUUAAUGUUAUAUCUUGGAUAUUGUAUUACCCUGGGUAUUAAAAAGAACUCCUUUCACAUUUUAA